rnacentral:tRNA from 1 species
GCCCCCGUACUCCAACCGGUAGAGAGAGGCGACUUAAAAUCGUCGUAGUGUGGGUUCGAAUCCCACCGGGGGUA